rnacentral:rRNA from 1 species
GAUGAACGCUGGCGGCGUGCCUAAUACAUGCAAGUCUAUCGAACGGACGAGAAGCUUGCUUCUCUGAUGUUAGCGGCGGCCGGGUGAGUAACACGUGGAUAACCUACCUAUAAGACUGGGAUUACUUCGAGAAACCGGAGCUAAUACAGGAUAAUAUUUUCAACCGCAUGGUUCAAAAGUGAAAGACGGUCUUGCUGUCCCUUAUACAUGGAUCCCCGCUGCCUUAGCUAGUUGGUAAGGUAACGGCUUACCAAGGCAACGAUGCAUAGCCGACCUGAGAGGGUGAUAGGCCACACUGGAACUGAGACACGGCCCAGACUCCUACGGGAGGCAGCAGUAAGGAAUCUUGCGCGAUGGGCGAAAGCUUGACGGAGCAACGCCGAGUGAGUGAUGAAGGUGUUCGGAUCGUAAAACUCUGUUAUUAGGGAAGAACAUAGGUGUAAGUAACUGUGCACAUCUUGACGGUACCUAAGCAGAAAGCCACGGCUAACUACGUG